rnacentral:rRNA from 1 species
UACGUAGGGGGCUAGCGUUGUCCGGAUUUAUUGGGCGUAAAGAGCGUGUAGGCGGCCAGGUAGGUCUGCUGUGAAAACUCGAGGCUCAACCUCGAGACGUCGGCGGAAACCAUCUGGCUAGAGUCCGGAAGAGGAGAGUGGAAUUCCUGGUGUAGCGGUGAAAUGCGCAGAUAUCAGGAAGAACACCCGUGGCGAAGGCGGCUACCUGGACAGAAACUGACGCUGAGGCGCGAAAGCUAGGGGAGCAAACAGG